UUGUGGCAGAAUUUUAUUUUUCUGGGGGAGGUACUUCUAAAUGGCUCCGACACAAGUGCCUGAAAUGCCAUGAAAUCACGUUUUCGGCCUCCAAUUAAAAUUUCUUAGCGGGAGAACCCCCUGACCCGACCCCCUUGCGGGGCUUCACGGUCGGUAUCAGCCCCCCUCCCCACCACCAUGGUUAAUCCGGCGUUGAUGUUCCCUCUUGUGCAGCUGCAAAAGAAUGUACAAGUUCAUUGCCUCAUUGUCAAAGAUCCCACUUUUCUACCCCAGUUCGGGUAAUGAGGUCGAGCGUAUAUUGUAUAGGGGAUAUUAAACAAGCAAACAGUAUGGCUGAUGUCUCCCGCCAAAACCCCAAAGUAAAAGAUGACACAUUAAUUAAUCGCACUUUCAUAUUUUUUUCAAAAGUAUCGAGCAAUCAAUAUUUUAAGGCAUAUCAGAGGGCAAGAUUGUGUGGCCAUUGAGGUCAGAUAUCACCAAAAAUGUUAUAGGCAAUAUACAUGUACUGAAUUUCUUAGACAGUUAUCAGAAAGCAAAGAUGACUAGCCCUCCGUCGAAUAUUAAACCACAUACAAUAUAUUCUGUGAAGAUGUCAUAAGAGAAAGAAUCAUAAAUGGCCAGCAAAGUUGUCUUGUACAGAGAGAGAGAGAGAGAAAUGGGGUUUAACGUCCACUCAACACAAACUAGGUCAUUUUGGGACUAACAUACGGUUUCAAUUUUAUUUCAAUAAUUCGCCUCUAUCUCCAUGCCACAUACGCUCACACCUGGGAUCAAAGCCACAGCCACAAGCCAGAGGUGACCGACCAGCUAGAGGUCGAAGCGCGGCACUCUAGGCCAUCACAACCCCCCUUUCUUGUACAGACCUGUGCAUGUGUAGUCAAUGUGAAAAUGAAAAAAAAACUGUUAAAGAGACCGAAUUUGAUGUUAAUACAUUUAGUGACAGUGAUGAUGAUAAUGAAGAUUAACUUUGAUGACAUUUGAUGUGCAGAGUAACUGUUUAAUUUUGAUUUUCAAUGAUUGUUUCACUUUAAUAAAUAAUUUCACAACUGUU